GUCUAUGGCCAUGCCACCUUGAACGUGCCCGAUCUUGUCUGAUCUCAGAAGCUAAGCAGGGUCAGGCCUGAUAAGUACUUGGAUGGGAGACCAGGUGCUGUAGGCA
rnacentral:rRNA from 1 species